rnacentral:rRNA from 1 species
GCUCGUUCCCUUGUGGAGCGAGCGCAGUUAUUAGAACAAAACCAAUCCGGCCUUCGGGUCGGUUAAAAUGGUGACUCUGAAUAACCGAAGCGGAGCGUAUGGUCUCGUACCGACGCCAGAUCUUUCAAGUGACUGCUCUAUCAGCUUGUUGCUAGGUUAUGCUCCUAGCAAGGCUUCAACGGGUAACGGGGUAUCAGGGUCCGAUACCGGAGAGGGAGCCUGAGAAACGGCUACCACAUCCAAGGAAGGCAGCAGGCGCGCAAAUUACCCACUCCCAGCACGGGGAGGUAGUGACGAAAAAUAACGAUGCGAGGGCAUAUUGCUUCUCGUAAUCGGAAUGGGUACACUUUAAAUCCUUUAACGAGGAUCUAUUGGAGGGCAAGUCUGGUGCCAGCAGCCGCGGUAAUUCCAGCUCCAAUAGCGUAUAUUAAAGUUGCUGCGGUUAAAAAGCUCGUAGUUGGAUCUGGGCAGCUGGAUGUGCGGUGCGCUUUACAGCGUUACUGCUCGUUUGGCGCCACAAGCCGGCCAUGUCUUGCAUGCUCUUCACUGSGUGUGCUUGGCGACCGGAACGUUUACUUUGAAAAAAUUAGAGUGCUCAAAGCAGGCGUAUGGCCUUGCAUAAUGGUGCAUGGAAUAAUGGAAUAGGACCUCGGUUCUAUUUUGUUGGUUAUCGGAGCUCGAGGUAAUGAUUAAGAGGAACAGACGGGGGCAUUCGUAUUGC